rnacentral:rRNA from 1 species
CCUACGGGCGGCUGCAGUGGGGAAUAUUGGACAAUGGGGGCAACCCUGAUCCAGCCAUGCCGCGUGUGUGAAGAAGGCCCUCGGGUUGUAAAGCACUUUCAGUGAGGAAGAACGCCUGGUGGUUAAUACCCAUCAGGAAAGACAUCACUCACAGAAGAAGCACCGGCUAACUCCGUGCCAGAAGCCGCGGUAAUACGGAGGGUGCGAGCGUUAAUCGGAAUUACUGGGCGUAAAGCGCGCGUAGGUGGCUUGAUAAGCCGGUUGUGAAAGCCCCGGGCUCAACCUGGGAACGGCAUCCGGAACUGUCAAGCUAGAGUGCAGGAGAGGAAGGUAGAAUUCCCGGUGUAGCGGUGAAAUGCGUAGAGAUCGGGAGGAAUACCAGUGGCGAAGGCGGCCUUCUGGACUGACACUGACACUGAGGUGCGAAAGCGUGGGUAGCAAACAGGAUUAGAUACCCUGGUAGUC